rnacentral:tRNA from 54 species
CGGAGUGUAGCGCAGCCUGGUAGCGCACCUCGUUCGGGACGAGGGGGUCGCAGGUUCGAAUCCUGCCACUCCGACCA